rnacentral:rRNA from 1 species
GACGAACGCUGGCGGCGUGCUUAACACAUGCAAGUCGAACGGUAAGGCCCUUCGGGGUACACGAGUGGCGAACGGGUGAGUAACACGUGGGUGAUCUGCCCUGCACUUCGGGAUAAGCCUGGGAAACUGGGUCUAAUACCGGAUAGGACCCUGGGAUGCAUGUCCUGGGGUGGAAAGCUUUUGCGGUGUGGGAUGGGCCCGCGGCCUAUCAGCUUGUUGGUGGGGUGAGGGCCUACCAAGGCGACGACGGGUAGCCGGCCUGAGAGGGUGACCGGCGACACGGGGACUGAAAUACGGCCCAGACUCCUACGGGGGGCAGCAGUGGGGAAUAUUGCACAAUGGGCGCAAGCCUGAUGCAGCGACGCCGCGUGAGGGAUGACGGCCUUCGGGUUGUAAACCUCUUUCAGCACCGACGAAGCGCAAGUGACGGUAGGUGCAGAAGAAGGACCGGCCAACUACGUGCCAGCAGCCGCCGUAA